rnacentral:misc_RNA from 1 species
GCAAACUUGGUCAUUUAGAGGAAGUAAAAGUCGUAACAAGGUAACCGUAGGUGAACCUGCGGUUGGAUCAUUACAGAACUAUGAUUUGUUGGGUUGACAGAAUUUGUUGCCCUUCAACAUCAUACUCACCUCUCUGUGAAUAUUUUGUGUAUUUUGGCAGCCCAAAACAUGCGUCUCAAAAAGUGGAAAGUAUUUUCACUUUUUGCGGGCGUGGGCUGCCAGCUGUUUGUACCAACUCGAAUGUUUAUUUCUUGUGAAUUUCAUUUGGUUUUUGCCUCCUCACGAGGUGAUGACAAAAAUUGAAAACAACUUUUGACAACGGAUCUCUUGGCUCUCGCAUCGAUGAAGAACGCAGC